CCCGCUGAACUUAAGCAUAUCAAUAAGCGGAGGAAAAGAAACUAACAAGGAUUCCCCUAGUAACUGCGAGUGAAGCGGGAAAAGCUCAAAUUUAAAAUCUGUCAGUCUUUGGCUGUCCGAGUUGUAAUCUAGAGAAGUGUUAUCCGCGCUGGACCGUGUACAAGUCUCCUGGAAUGGAGCGUCAUAGAGGGUGAGAAUCCCGUCUUUGACACGGACUGCCAGGGCUUUUGUGAUGCGCUCUCAAAGAGUCGAGUUGUUUGGGAAUGCAGCUCAAAAUGGGUGGUAAAUUCCAUCUAAAGCUAAAUAUUGGCGAGAGACCGAUAGCGAACAAGUACCGUGAGGGAAAGAUGAAAAGAACUUUGGAAAGAGAGUUAAACAGUACGUGAAAUUGCUGAAAGGGAAACGCUUGAAGUCAGUCGCGUCAUCCAGGGAUCAACCUUGCUUUUGCUUGGUGUACUUUCUGGUUGACGGGUCAGCAUCAAUUUUGACCAUUGGAAAAAGAUAAAGGGAAUGUGGCAUACAUAGUGAUGUGUUAUAGCCCUUGGUUGCAUACAAUGGUUGGGAUUGAGGAACUCAGCACGCCGCAAGGCCGGGUUUUUACUAACCACGUACGUGCUUAGGAUGUUGGCAUAAUGGCUUUAAUCGACCCGUCUUGAAACACGG
rnacentral:rRNA from 1 species